UUUAGUGACUGGGUAAACGUGUAGAACGACACAUGCCACUAAAGACCUUUUGAAUAAGUACUCUAGAAAGUAAUAUUAAAAUUUGUGAAAGAUCCCGUAGUAACAGUUAUAAAUAUGGUACUCAUACAUAAGCUUCAGCAUUCAACGUUUGGCCUGCGUUAGGGACAUAUGCGACUAUACCUGAUUUACUGUAACAACAACUUGCUCAAGCGUCGGAUUAUUUUAGGUGUAAACUGGUGUAAAUUCGUGACAUCCUCCAGAUAAGCGACACAAACGUAGGAUAUCAGGAUAGCAAAUGGAACGAUGGUGUAUGUUUUUCACGUAGCAGUAUUUCCUUUUCCUUAUGAUUGCUGGGAAAAGCGAGGUAACAGGUUUCUUGCUACUGGUGAUAGUUUUCCUACAAUAGGACACAGUUUCAGAGUAGGAUUCGAGACAGUCAGCCAAAUUGUACAAGAAGUGUGCCAACGUCUCAAAUUUGGAAACAAUCUGCUAAAGGGUUUGAAGAAAACUGGCAUUUCCCGAACUGCAUUGGUAGUAUAGACGGAAAGCACGUUUCCAUCAAGUGUCCGAACAAGACUGGAUCGAAGCACUUCUGUUACUUACAUAAAUUUUCGGUAGUACUAAUGGCUAUCGUUGGACCCGAUUAUCGGUUUAUAUGUGUCGAUAUCGGUGGUUAUGGGAAAAAUAGCGAUGGUGGUAUUUUUGAAAUGUCGAAUAUGGGCCAAAGAUUUGAAGCAGGAAUGAUGAAUGUACCAAAGGCCAAACCCUUGCCUGGACAAAUCGAACCGUGCAAUUACGUCCUAAUAGGUGACGAGGCGUUCGUUUUAAAGCCAUAUCUGAUGAGGCCUUUUCCUUAUAGACAGUCGCGUUUGAACCCCCAGAAAGAGAAUUAUAACACCAAACAUGCUAUAGCUCGAAGAGUUGUAGAAAAUGCUUUUGGCAUAUUAGCCCAAAAAUGGCGAAUUUUUUUCAGACCAAUACCUACAAAGGUUGAAACCGUCAUCCUCAUUGUGCACACAGCAUGCGUGCUUCACAAUUUUUUGCGUUUAAAUCAAUGCACUGACAUGCCAGAGAUACCUAUACAAUCCAAUGAGGGAUCUCCGUUUUACAAUUUAGCAACGGAUUCGCGACGAGCAACUAACUUAUCGUUUGAAACGAGAGAAAAAUUCGUGAAAUUCUUUUUGGAUAAAUAAUUAACGUGUAUGUGAAAUGGAAUAUCAUAUUUAUGAAUUA